GACGAACGCUGGCGGCGUGCUUAACACAUGCAAGUCGAACGGAAAGGCCCUGCUUUUGUGGGGUGCUCGAGUGGCGAACGGGUGAGUAACACGUGAGUAACCUGCCCUUGACUUUGGGAUAACUUCAGGAAACUGGGGCUAAUAUCGGAUAGGAGCUCCUGCUGCAUGGUGGGGGUUGGAAAGUUUCGGCGGUUGGGGAUGGACUCGCGGCUUAUCAGCUUGUUGGUGGGGUAGUGGCUUACCAAGGCUUUGACGGGUAGCCGGCCUGAGAGGGUGACCGGCGACAUUGGGACUGAGAUACGGCCCAGACUCCUACGGGAGGCAGCAGUGGGGAAUAUUGCACAAUGGGCGGAAGCCUGAUGCAGCAACGCCGCGUGCGGGAUGACGGCCUUCGGGUUGUAAACCGCUUUCGCCUGUGACGAAGCGUGAGUGACGGUAAUGGGUAAAGAAGCACCGGCUAACUACGUG
rnacentral:rRNA from 1 species